rnacentral:rRNA from 1 species
CCCUGCCAUUUGUACACACCGCCUGUCGCAUUUCUUAAUGUUGUGACUUGGUGAACCUUCUGGACUGAGAGGGGACUCGAUCCUUUUUCGGGAAGUUAAGUAAACCUAGUCACAAGUAGAGAAAUGAA